rnacentral:rRNA from 1 species
UACGUAGGUGACCAGCGUUGUCCGGAUUUACUGGGCGUAAAGAGCGCGCAGGCGGUCGUUCAAGUCGAGUGUGAAAGCCCCCGGCUCAACUGGGGAGGGUCACUCGAUACUGAUCGACUUGAAGGCAGGAGAGGGAAGCGGAAUUCCCGGUGUAGUGGUGAAAUGCGUAGAUAUCGGGAGGAACACCAGUGGCGAAGGCGGCUUCCUGGCCUGUUCUUGACGCUGAGGCGGCGAAAGCUGAGGGAGCAAACAGGGGGAUUAAUG